rnacentral:rRNA from 1 species
GACAAUGGGCGAGAGCCUGAUCCAGCCAUGCCGCGUGCAGGAAGACUGCCCUAUGGGUUGUAAACUGCUUUUAUACAGGAAGAAUAAGCCUUACGUGUAAGGUGAUGACGGUACUGUAAGAAUAAGGACCGGCUAACUCCGUGCCAGCAGCCGCGGUAAUACGGAGGGUCCGAGCGUUAUCCGGAAUUAUUGGGUUUAAAGGGUCCGUAGGCGGAUGAUUAAGUCAGGGGUGAAAGUUUGCAGCUCAACUGUAAAAUUGCCUUUGAUACUGGUUAUCUUGAGUUGUAUUGAAGUAGGCGGAAUAUGUAGUGUAGCGGUGAAAUGCAUAGAUAUUACAUAGAACACCAAUUGCGAAGGCAGCUUACUAAGUACUAACUGACGCUGAUGGACGAAAGCGUGGGUAGCGAACAGGAUUAGAUACCCUGGUAGUCCACGCCGUAAACGAUGGAUACUAGCUGUUCGGGACCUUGAGUUCUGAGCGGCUAAGCGAAAGUGAUAAGUAUCCCACCUGGGGAGUACGUUCGCAAGAAUGAAACUCAAAGGAAUUGACGGGGGCCCGCACAAGCGGUGGAGCAUGUGGUUUAAUUCGAUGAUACGCGAGGAACCUUACC